CACAACUUCUAGUCAGGUGACCUGGCUCCUCUUCAACCUUUAAAUCGAGUGAUUUUUGACACUAACAAAAGAGGCAGAAUGGAGAACGGUGGUGCAGGGUUUCCAGGAGAAGUGGCAGUUCCCUCAUUUCCUUGGAGCCAUAGAUGGGAAACAAAUAUACAUCCAGCCUCCAGAUAACUCUGGAAGUACCUUCCACAAUUAUGACGAGCUUUUCUGCAGUUCUCAUGGCAAUAGUAGACGCGAGCUACAAGUUCAUACAUGCCAGUGUUUCAGAUGCAGGGCUGUUCAGCCAGUCAGAGCUCUGCACUGCCAUGUUUGCUGAAUUACCAGAGCCCCUGCUGGACACCACGACAAACAUGCCUUCUGUCUUCAUUGGUGAUGAGGCAUCCCUCUCCGGACUGACCUGAUGUAACCAUACCCCUGCUGGAACCUGGACCAUGGACAUGCCUCCAGAAGCCGUCAGUGCUAGCCCAAUCUCUGCCACGCUGCCUCACUCCCUCCCUGGAUUCACUCACCAGCCUCUUCCCUCUUCGCCUCAUGUCUGGAGCCCUCACGCCCUUGGAUUCCCCUCGCACCCUUAACCCCAAAUUCUCCCCUCCUUCCACUGCCUGUGUC